UAUGGCCACAGAACCUAUAAAACAUCGCAUCCCGUCCGUUCUGCGUAAUUAAGUUGGUUGUCGCUCGGUUAGUACCAACGUGGGGGGACCAGUUGGGAAUCCCGAGUGCUGUAGUC